GAGCGUAUAGCUCAGUGGUAGAGCACAUGCCUAGCAUGCACAAGGUCCUGGGUUCAAUCCCCAGUACCUCCA
rnacentral:tRNA from 1 species